GUGUCAGCAGCCGCGGUAAUACGAGGGGUGCAAGCGUUGCUCGGAAUUAUUGGGCGUAAAGGGUAGGUAGGUGGUCUCAUUUGUCAGGGGUGAAAUCCUUGGGCUUAACUCAAGAAGUGCCCCUGAAACGGUGAGACUGGAGUCCUGGAGAGGGUCGUGGAAUUCCCGGUGUAGCGGUGAAAUGCGUAGAGAUCGGGAGGAACACCAGAGGCGAAGGCGGCGACCUGGACAGGUACUGACACUCAACUACGAAAGCGUGGGGAGCAAACAGGAUUAGAUACCCUGGUAGUCCACGCUGUAAACGAUGGGUACUAGGUUUGGCGGGUCUUGACCCCUGCUGAGCCGGAGCUAACGCAAUAAGUACCCCGCCUGGGAAGUACGGUCGCAAGACUAAA
rnacentral:rRNA from 1 species